CUGCGAUCGUCGUCGCUGUCGUCGUUCUAAAAGCUCUUCGGGUUGGGCCGGAAAGAACGAAAGCUUCCGCUUGCUUCGUUUCCUCGCUCCAUCACUCCACUCCUCCUGUUCGAAAUCCUGGAACGAAGGGGGAAUCGCUAAAUUUGAGACCCUUGGAUGCUCCGAUUCUGCGACUCCGAGGCGAUUUCACCAUGGGAGCGAGUCGGAAACUUCAGGGCGAGAUCGAUCGGGUCUUGAAGAAGGUGCAGGAGGGCGUCGAAGUCUUCGACAGCAUCUGGAACAAGGUUUAUGACACGGAGAACGCCAAUCAGAAGGAGAAAUUCGAAGCGGAUUUGAAGAAGGAGAUCAAAAAGCUGCAGCGGUAUCGAGAUCAGAUCAAGACAUGGAUCCAGUCGAGCGAGAUAAAGGACAAAAAGGUUAGUGCCUCUUAUGAGCAGGCUCUUAUGGAUGCUCGCAAGCUUAUUGAGCGUGAAAUGGAAAGAUUUAAGGUCUGUGAAAAGGAAACUAAAACGAAAGCCUUCUCCAAAGAAGGGUUAGGCCAACAACCGAAAACUGAUCCAAAAGAAAAGGCUAAAGCAGAGACAAGGGAUUGGCUCAACAAUGUGGUUGGAGAUUUGGAAAGUCAGAUUGAUAACUUUGAAGCUGAGGUUGAAGGGCUUUCUGUAAAGAAAGGAAAGACAAGGCCACCUCGACUGACACAUUUGGAGACAUCUAUCACAAGGCAUAGGGCUCAUAUACUGAAGUUAGAGUUGAUCUUGAGACUGUUGGAUAAUGAUGAGUUGAGUCCUGAUCAGGUCAAUGAUGUUAAAGACUUUUUAGAAGAUUAUGUUGAACGCAAUCAGGAAGAUUUUGAUGAAUUUAGUGAUGUUGAUGAGCUCUACAGCGCUUUACCUUUGGAUAAGGUUGAAGCACUUGAAGAUUUGGUUUCACUUGGUCCUUCCAGUCUUGUUAAGGGUGUUGGUUCUGUUUCUGCUUCUAGUGCUGUUUUAGGCUUGAAGAAUUCUGUUGCAAGUUCCUCUACUCAGGCUGCCUUGACAUCAACUGCCUCACAAAAUACUGCACAGGACCAUGGUGAAGAAACAGCUUCCCUGGACAGUAAUUCUGAUAUGGCUCCUAGAACGCCACCUUCCAAAAGUGGAGCUAUGGAAUCUUUGGUGUCGUUAGCUUCCCCCAGUGUCAGUUCUGGGACACCUGCAGGUCCCACUCCUGCUGCUGCUACUAUCGUUUCUGGACGCCCAUUGGCUGGUGGGCCAACUGUAGCAGCAAUACCGUCCUGUCCACUAAGUGUUCGAGGUGCUUCAGAUAACUCAUCUGCAGCCAUGUCUGCAUCUAUUGCUAUUUCAUCGAGUUCGGUAAAGGAGGAUGAUAGCAUGAGCUUCCCUGGUCGUAGAUCAUCUCCAGCCAUCCAUGAAAUUGGAAUUGGGAGAGGUAUUAGCCGAGGGAUAUCCAGUCAAGCAUCCAUUAGUGCUCCUAUGAGUUUAGGCUCAGCCAGUGGUGUUUCAGGCAAUGGAGCACUAGGUUCAGUUCCUGCAGUCUCUGAAAUGGCUAAGAGAAACAUGUUAAAUGGUGAUGAGAGAAUUGGAAGUGGCAACCUCUCGCAGCCAUUAGCUUCUCCUCUAAGUAAUAGAAUCCUAUUGCAUCAGGCUUCAAAAACUAAUGAAGGAACUAAUUCAAAUGAUUCUAAUAAUGUUAGUGAGGCAGCAGUUAUUGGUGGAAGAGUCUUUUCACCUUCAGUUAGUGGAGUUCAGUGGAGACCUCAAAAUACAGCUUUUCAGAGUCAAAAUGAAACAGGUCAGUUUCGUGGACGGCCUGAGAUUGCUCCUGACCAGAGGGAGAAAUUUCUGCAACGGCUGCAACAAGUGCAGCAACAAGGCCACAGUACCCUUCUCGGUGUUCCUCACCUUUCUGGUGCGAAUCACAAGCAAUUACCUGCACAACAGCAAAAUGCACUUUUACAACAGCUUAAUUCUCAAAGUUCUUCUAUUUCACCUCAAGUAGGAUUAGGACUUGGAGUACAGGGACCAAGCCUUGCUUCUGUUACGCCAACCUUGCAACAGAAGGCAACUCCAAUUCUUCAACAAUCCUCCUCACAUUCCUUGAUUCCGACUGGACCAAAAGAUGGAGAUGCUGGACACCUUAAAGUAGAAGAUCAGAAUCAACAGAAUUUGUCUGAUGAUAUGAACGUUGAAACUGCUACAAGUUCUGGUCUCAACAAGACUGUUAAUGAUGACGACUUGAAGACACCAUACAUGGGCCCAGCUUCACCGUCUAUGAUAGAAGGUAACCAGUUGCCCAGAGAUACUGAUCUCUCACCUGGGCAACCAUUGCAACCCAGUCAGUCUUCAGCGGGCCCUGGUGUUAUUGGUCGAAGAAGCAUCUCUGACCUUGGUGCCAUUGGAGAUAACCUUGGUGGAUCAGCGGGGAGUUCUGGCGGAAUGCAUGAUCAGAUCUAUAAUAUGCAGAUGCUUGAAGCUGUGUUUUGCAAACUUCCACAGCCCAAGGAUUCAGAACGUGUAAAGAGCUAUGUUCCUAGGCACCCUGCAGUCACUCCUGCUAGCUAUCCCCAAACUCAGGCCCCAAUCAUCGACAAUCCUGCCUUCUGGGAACGAUUAGGUCUCGAUCCAAUUGGCACAGAUACCUUCUUCUUCGCAUUUUACUAUCAACAGAACACUUACCAGCAAUACUUAGCUGCAAGGGAAUUGAAAAGGCAAUCAUGGAGAUACCACAGGAAAUAUAACACAUGGUUUCAACGGCACGAGGAGCCAAAACUUACAAAUGAUGAAUAUGAGAGGGGAACGUAUGUAUACUUUGAUUUCCAUAUUGCAGAUGAUGGUUCGCAGCAUGGAUGGUGCCAAAGGAUUAAGACUGAGUUCACAUUCGAAUAUAACUUUCUUGAGGAUGAGCUUGUCGUGUAGAUAUACUGGAUCACAUUAUAGACAAUUUAAUUUCAUGUUUCAGUACGUCAUGAUCAAAGCUUUUUGCUGCCCUGAAAUGAAGUCGAGAGGCACAGAUCUGAAUGCAUGAAUUUGUAGCUGCAGAGGUGAAUCUGCUAUAAGUUCAGGAACAUGCAAUGAUGAAUGAAAUUGAUAUGGUUGAUUCUUAGGAGGGAGUUGGAGAUCCAUCUGCUCGAUAAAACCAUAAUACCUGCAGAUCAUGGCAGCCUGAGAUUGAAAGAGCCAAUGAUUGCAAUCUGCUCGUUACUCUGGCAAUUAUCUAUUCCGAGUGGUAGGAAAUAUCUUAUUGACAAAGUCAUAAGAUUGUUGUGGGGAACCCUCAGGCAGCUUUUCAGUCUGAUGCAAGUGGGGUGGAUUUUCAGUAAAUAUCAACACCAGUUGCGGUUCAACAUGUAGAAAUUUAAUAAUAUGGUUCAUAUGGUAACUUGCUCUGUUAGUCUUCAAAAGCAGGUACCUGGACAUGGAACUUAAGAUCCAUUCUCUUUUCCCUUCUGCUUGCCGAAAAUACACCUGAUAUUAGGAAUC